GAGCUAGAGACACCCAGAGACUGUUAGGGACACAAAAAAGAAGAACAAAGGGAAAGUUCAAGGAUUAGGUGAUGGAGGAUUUCUAUGGACAAGGAGGUGACCACUCAGUUCCUUGGUCGCCAGAGGCUUGCGUAGACAGACAUCAGGAGCUAUCACCACCCAUGGACUUUGUCUUCAGUGACCUGCUACUCCUUUGGGACUUGAAAUUCACUGACAUAUUUCAAGACUGAAAAUUGAAGAAAGAAACAUCUCAAGCAUUGGCUUUUUGUAACUUCUCAG
rnacentral:lncRNA from 1 species